GCUGGUUCCUUCCUGAAGUUUCCCUCAGGAUAGCUGGUGCAUUUAAAUGUUAUAUAAAAUAAUCUUAUCUGGUAAAGCGAAUGAUUAGAGGCGUUAGGGUCGAAACGAUCUUAACCUAUUCUCAAACUUUAAAUGGGUAAGAACCUUAACUUUCUUGAUAUGAAGUUUAAGGUUAUGAUAUAUUGUGCCCAGUGGGCCACUUUUGGUAAGCAGAACUGGCGCUGUGGGAUGAACCAAACGUAAUGUUACGGUGCCCAAAUUAACAACUCAUACAGAAACCAUGAAAGGCGUUGGUUGCUUAAAACAGCAGGACGGUGAUCAUGGAAGUCGAAAUCCGCUAAGGAGUGUGUAACAACUCACCUGCCGAAGCAACUAGCCCUUAAAAUGGAUGGCGCUUAAGUUGUAUACCUAUACAUUACCGCUAAAGUAGAUGAUUUAUAUUAUUUAUAAUAUAAAUUUUGAAACUUUAGUGAGUAGGAAGGUACAAUGGUGUGCUUAGAAGUGUUUGGCGUAAGCCUGCAUGGAGCCGCCAUUGGUACAGAUCUUGGUGGUAGUAGCAAAUAAUCGAAUGAGACCUUGGAGGACUGAAGUGGAGAAGGGUUUCGUGUGAACAGUGGUUGAUCACGAGUUAGUCGGUCCUAAGUUCAAGGCGAAAGCCGAAAAUUUUCAAGUUUUAAAAAUGUCAAAUGAAAUAAUAAAUAAUAAAACACUUGAAUAAUUUUGAACGAAAGGGAAUACGGUUCCAAUUCCGUAACCUGUUGAGUAUCCGUUUGUUAUUAAAUAUGGGCCUCGUGCUCAUCCUGGCAACAGGAACGACCAUAAAGAAGCCGUCGAGAGGUAUCGGAAGAGUUUUCUUUUCUGUUUUAUAGCCGUACUACCAUGGAAGUCUUUCGCAGAGAGAUAUGGUAGAUGGGCUAGAAGAGCAUGACAUAUACUGUUGUGUCGAUAUUUUCUCCUCGGACCUUGAAAAUUUAUGGUGGGGAUACGCAAACUUCUCAACAGGCCGUACCAAUAUCCGCAGCUGGUCUCCAAGGUGAAGAGUCUCUAGUCGAUAGAAUAAUGUAGGUAAGGGAAGUCGGCAAAUUAGAUCCGUAACUUCGGGAUAAGGAUUGGCUCUGAAGAUUGAGAUAGUCGGGCUUGAUUGGGAAACAAUAACAUGGUUUAUGUGCUCGUUCUGGGUAAAUAGAGUUUCUAUCAUUUAUGAUAGUUAUUUGUUCCCCGGAUAGUUAGUUACGUAGCCAAUUGUGGAACUUUCUUGCUAAAAUUUUUAAGAAUACUAAUUUUUAAUUAGUUCUUUUAAAUUAUAACGAUUAUCAAUUAACAAUCAAUUCAGAACUGGCACGGACUUGGGGAAUCCGACUGUCUAAUUAAAACAAAGCAUUGUGAUGGCCCUAGCGGGUGUUGACACAAUGUGAUUUCUGCCCAGUGCUCUGAAUGUCAAAGUGAAGAAAUUCAAGUAAGCGCGGGUCAACGGCGGGAGUAACUAUGACUCUCUUAAGGCGCUUGCUGCCUCAGCAUGACAUCUAAAAGAAGGCAUAAACAUCGUAUGGCAUAAAAGAGGAGGUUUUAGUACGUAGGCGCUGUGGAACUUUAUAGUUCUGAUGAUGCAGUGAAUCGUGCAUGCGGCAAUUCACCCGUAGUAAGGUGACCGUAUCUUUCGAAGAUUUCCUCCCUCUGCGAUCAAAAAAAAAAAAAAAAAAAAAAAAAAAUAGCCAAAUGCCUCGUCAUCUAAUUAGUGACGCGCAUGAAUGGAUUAACGAGAUUCCUACUGUCCCUAUCUACUAUCUAGCGAAACCACAGCCAAGGGAACGGGCUUGGAAUAAUUAGCGGGGAAAGAAGACCCUUUUGAGCUUGACUCUAAUCUGGCAGUGUAAGGAGACAUAAGAGGUGUAGAAUAAGUGGGAGAUAUUAUUCCUUGUGUUUGAUAUCGCCAAUGAAAUACCACUACUCUUAUUGUUUCCUUACUUACUUGAUUAAAUGGAACGUGUAUCAUUUCCUAGCCAUUAUACGGAUAUAUUUAUUAUAUCUUAUGGUAUUGGGUUUUGAUGCAAGCUUCUUGAUCAAAGUAUCACGAGUUUGUUAUAUAAUCGCAAACAAAUUCUUUAAUGAGAGAGUGCAUUUAUGUAUUUUUAAUUUGAAAUAUUUGGUAUAACUCCAAUUACUCAGGUAUGAUCCAAUUCAAGGACAUUGCCAGGU
rnacentral:rRNA from 1 species